GUUGUAUUAACAUAGUAACAGUGAUGUCCCAGGGCAGGCGUCAGGAAUAUCAUCACGUGAAACAGAGAGUUCUCGAAAUAUUAGGUCCAAGUAGUACAUCAUCACCAUCAUUAGAACCGAGUACUUCAACGAUCUUUUGAGAUUGCAUGUAGAUAAAAAAAAUGCAGAGAUAGAAAUGGAUAAGAACACCAUCAAAAUAAAAAGGUACGAAGAAUUGAAGAAAUUCGAUGCUGAUAUACUUAUAUAUGAUCUAGAAUAUUUGAAAAAAUGUGUAGGUAGAAUUAUGUAUCUACUCUUUUGGGAUAUGCUUUCAAUUUUUGGUUUUGGUCUUUUUUAUUCUAGAGAAAAAAUUCUACAAUUUGAAAGACAGAAAAAUCUAUAUAUACAAAUAUUUUUCAGUUGUCCAAAUUUGGCCUCAACGGGGGUAAGGACGUAGCAGAGACAACACGCAAAAUAAUCUAACUCAUAAUAAGCCAUGAAUCAAGAAUUUCCCUGAAUUGGUCGGGUGGGAAUUAAUAAUAAAAAUGGAUUAGAAGCAAUGGCGAAUAUUGUUGAGCUUAAUCAUGGAUCUGUAAGGAUAAAUCCUAUUACAAGAAGUGCCACUGAUGUGGAAAUGAAUCAUGUAAUGAAUUGGCUUCGCAAUGCCGGUGACAGAGCAGGGGGCAGAUUGAAAAGAGCGGAGGAAAAAGAAGCAGGCUAU